GAGGCUCUGUCCUGCAGAAGUAAUGGAUGUGGCUGAGAGCAGAGAGGACAAUGAUAACCAGCGCAUUCAGUCAUGCAUAUAUAAAAGCAACAACAAAGUUAAUCUCUCAAAUGAAAGCACAUACAGUCUUGUCUCAGUGCUGCCAAAAUAUUAUGGAUUGGGGGUGCCUUGUAUAUUUUUUGAAAUGUUGGAAGGAGAAAGAACAAGUGUGGUCAGAUCCUGGAAGAACAGAAAGUAUGCGUAGUCUCAGAACCCUGGAGAUAUUCAAAACCCAGCUGGAUGCAUCCCUGAAGCACCCUGCUCUGAGAAGAGGGGUUGGACUAUAUGAUCUCCAGAGCUUCCUUUCCUUCUCAAC